CCCCCACCCAGCCGCGUCGAAGCCACUCUCCCCUGCAAUAGCAUCACCUCUCUGCCCUCCCGCGACCUAGGGUUAGCCGCCGCAGACGACGACCUUAUCGGUGAGCUCCGGCGGCCAUGGCCGUCGCACAGGACGCUGCUGACCUCACCUCACCAUGCUGCGUUCGUCCCUCCGGCGAGAUCCGUCCCCCCGCCUCCAACGUUCGCGGCCAACCCAUCCCCCGUUGUUAGGGUUUGGGGCGCGGCCUCGUCUCAGCCACCAGCGAGCUCUGGCGGCCAUGGCCGGAGCGCAGGUGGCUGCCGAGCUCACCUCGCCAUUCUUCCUUGAUCCCUCCGGACAGAUCCGUCCCUCCUCGCCUCCAACGCUCGCGCCCAAUCCAACCCCCGCGGUUAGGGUUUGGGGCGUGGCCUCAUCUCCGGCACCGGCGUGCCUUUGGCGGUCCUCUAUGUCCCUUGAUUUGGGAAGAAAAUUUCAUUUUUCCCUGAUCUGACCAGGUUUGUUUUUAGGGGCAUCAAUUUGGUGCUUUCCCUGUCCAGAUAAAAGGAGAAGGGGACGAGGAAGGAUGAGAAGGUGUAGAAGGAGGAGACAGACCAGAAGAAGGCAAGGGAGGCGAGGCGAUCUGCAUGUCAAUGAGAUUACGUGUGAGGUCGUCCACUGCGACCCUCCCUAUUGUGAGAGCAGCAGUAGGACGACGACGGGAGGACGAGGACGUCAACGGUGAUUACAACCAGGAGGAUGAACCCACCCACAAGGGCGCUGGCGCCGGCCAUGAGGACGAUGACUCCUCGUCCUGCACCACCUUGUGUUGCAGCGACUAUAGACAAUGUAGGUGUUGCAUGGAGGAGUUUGAAGAAAAUGGUUGAUCUUGCUGCACACUCCAUCAGAUAAAAGUAGACAAGCAAUGAGUGUACCGUUCAGAGGUUACCAUGUGGAUGCUCUUUGGACUACGAUAUGGACAUGAAGGCAUUUGUUGUAGUGCCAAAUAUUAUGUACUAAUGCCCGCAAUGUAUCUUGUGUAUUAUAUUUGCUAUGGAGCUAUGUAUGUAUGGAUGCUA